GCCUUCACCUCUUGAGCUCAAGUUAUCCUCCUGCCUCAGCCUCCCAAAGUGUUGGGAUUACAGGCGGGAGCCGCCAUGCCCCAGCCUAUUGAUAUUCUUGUUGAGGUUCUCAGACAUAUCUGCAUGGCCUCACACAUGGAGGAAAGAGACCCACAGAGGCAAAAACAAGACAUGGGGUAAAAAUAGACUGGAAGGAAACACACCGAAUGAUAGUGGUUUUUUCUGGGUGUUGAGAUUACCGAGCUUAUUUUUAAAUUUCUUAGAUCCUUCAGGUGUUCUACAACGUAAAAUGCAGACAGGGUGGGGACGUUGGUUGGAGUCAUGUUUUCCCUAAUGUUCUUACUGGUUCUAAAAUCUUCAAGCUAUGCUCUCACCCAAGGCUUCACUUAUUAUUAUUUUAACACUGUGGAUUCAUAAAGAAUGGAAGCCCACACAAGUCCAGGGAAGGAAGGAAAGGCAGACAGAGGCUUAUUUUCAGGCCUGGGCAGUUGCACAGGGUCCCUUGCUUAGAAGGGCCUCAUGCUUGGUUUCGUGUUCUGUGGUCGCUGUCCUGAAAUUCUUACUGAUUUUUGAACAAGGGAUCCUGUAUUUUCAUUUUGCACUGUGCCCUGAAAAUCAUGCCGCCGUCACUAGCCCUGGGAUUCUCCCCAGGACAGGUUUCCCUUCAGCUGCUCUAAGCCUUCGCCCUUGUCCUUGUCCAACCACGGACGUGGCCAUCCACGGAGCCCUCUACGUGCCUCAGAGCAAGUGUGCUUCGGCUGCUCAGGUGUGUGUCUAGAGACUGAUAAAAACAGGGCUCGUGAGUGGGUGCGGGAGGCCCCUGUGGUCUCUGUUCACACACGUACCUACCCUCAAGGCCAUGUCUACACUGGCCUAUUUCAGAGAACCGCCCUGUGCAUCAUGGGAUGCUUUGCCCCACAUCACGGCCCAGCUUGGUUCAGUCCUGGAGCCCUGUGUCCUGAAGCCAUGACCAACCCCAGGCCUGGCCCACCUUCUUCCUCAGUCUCCUCUCCCUCAAGCCCUCCACAGGACCCAUAAACCUUCCAUCUCCAUGUAAUCCUUUUGUGUGAUCCUUCUUCCAUACCUUUGCCCAUGCUGUUCACUCUGCUUGUACCAGCAAGGUUCCUUCCUCCCCAGAUCUGCCCUUUCUAGACCCAUCUCAGAUUCCACCCUUUCUAGAAAGACUUCAGGAAGUAUUUGAGAAGGGCCUGAAGAUGCUGUGGUUGCAUAGAGGAGGAUAUGAAUCACCUCGCUUAGAGGUAUCGGGGAGGGCUCCAUGGAGGUGGUGCCCUCAGGCCAAGGAAGAGAAGAUAUCUUCCGGGCAGAAGGGAGAGUUUGACGGGCUGGUUUGAUGUCAGACAGACCACAGGAUGACUCAAGGUCCUCUUUCCUCUUCUUAAACAUUAGUUGCAGCAAGUCCCACCAUCUGCCUGAGUCUGUUUUCAUCUCCACAAUGGAGGUGGUGAUGCCCAGCACACGGAGCUGUGAUGAGGAUUUAAUGGGGAAUCCAGAGCAUUUAUGGAAGUGCCAGGAGGCCAAGAUUCUGCAUAGGGACUGCAUGUGCUGGUGGAAUCUCAGUCACCAUGUCCCACGUUGAAGGAUGUUUGGAGGGGGCUGACUUUGGUCACCCUUCAAAUCAUAAGUUAUAUGCGUCUGCCCUUUCCGCCCACACGUAAGUCUGAACCUUUUGCCAAAAACACUUUUCCCAGACUCGAAAGAAAACCCCAAAGAGGAACCUAAACCUUCACGCUGCCUGCACCGAUUGGACCGGAGUGCUCAGGCUCGCGCCAACAAGUGUUUCAAAGAAGAAGCCAGACAGUGAAGGGGGAAGUGAGGGAGAAGCUGGAAAACUCUCAGGCUGACCAAUCGUCAGCCCAUUCAUUCGUUCAUCCAUCCAUCCAUCCAUCCAUCCAUCCAUCCAUCCAUCCAUCCAUUCUUUCUUUCUUUCCUCUAUCCAUUCAGUGAGAAGGGCUGAAUAUCACCUGUGAGCCUGCCCCUGCUCCCAAGAACACCCUUUGGACACCUGUGGGCUCUGCAAGGUUGGUGUAACCCCUACAGAUGAGGAAACCAGAGACAGAGAAGUGAAGUAACUCAUGCAGGUGACGGCAGAGGGCAGAGUCAGGACUUGAACCUGGAGAGCCUGGCUCUAAAGCCCAAGCUGGAAUCUCGAUACUCUACACCUCGAUAAGUUUUUGGGAAAUGACUGACUAAACAGAUGAACGCGUUUGCCCCCCCGCCGCCCCAGAGCCCCCUUAAAGCCUACAUGUGGCAGUUUGGGCCCAUUUCCUUGGCUUCCCUCCCUGGAGGGGCACCCACUGCCAGUGUCCCUGCUGAAAUUUAGCAUCAUAUUCCAUGGCGAUUUUCCACCAGUGGAAAUCACAGGUGUUCUCUGGUAUCACAGCGGGGUCAGGGAUGACCUGAAAUAUUGUUCAUGCUCAUCACAACUGCAUGGCCCACCGCGGGGUCUUGUCACUCAGUGAGUUCUUGAAGAGGCACAGACAAAUGGAGUUCAACAAAUGGAAAACAACUGCCUUUAAUUAGCUCCGAGGACUACAAAGGGAACAACGUUAUAAUAGCAGCAACUCCAAGGAAGCAGCCACAGCUCUCAGCUCUCAGACCUGGGGCUGCCGCUCAUCAUCAGCUACAGCUAGGUUUGAUGGGAGUGCCCCCAUUUCAGGGGACAGCAGGCCCCCUUCACUCCCCGACUCAGUCCCCAUCUGCAGCAGCACAGCCUUCCUUGGCCUCACCAGGGAAGAAGAACAGGCCCCGCUCUCAGACAAGCCUUCCCAGAAGCCUGAGGACUCAAACACCCAAAUGUGUCUGGGUCCCUGCCCCGAGCCGGCCACCCAGGCAGCAGCCCUGAAUCACUCGGUCAGCCAGCGGCAGGGCAGGCCAAUGGGCUGGAGGGUAGGCAGGCAGGCAGACCCACCUCUGCAUCUCUGCUGACUGCCUCGGCUGAGGAAAGGCAGCACCAGCCCCCAACCCUGAAGUUCUAGAUCUCAUGCAGCCUCUCUGUUCUGGAACCAUCCAGAGGCACUGCCCUUAUACAUGGUCCACCCCCAGGCUCAGACAAUGAGAAUUCCACAAGCAGAGGGGACUCUAUUUGGGGCACAGAGAGGUUAAGUAACUCCCCUCCUAAGGUCUCUCAGCAAGGAAGCCACUGAGCCGUGGGACUUGAGCUCAGGGACUCUUGAUCCCCAGUCUCAGGUGUCACAGCCCCAUCUGGGCUCCUGCUAGGGAGGAGGAAGGCAGCAGGGGGUGUCUGAGGCCAGGGUGCAUCAGCCCUAAAUGCCAGACAGAGGCAGGAGAAGUCUCCCCAUGAGUCCCAGCCCCAUUAGAGGCUCCAGGUCGGGGAUCCCAGACCCCCUAUCCUUGCUGGGAGACACAACCCAGAACUCUGCAUCCCUGCAGCCACCAAAAAAGGCAAAAGCUGCCCAGAAACACUUUCUCCUCUUCCGUGGCCAAAUCCACGAACUUUCUCGAGGUCUGUCCCCCUGCCCCGUGCAGGUCCAGCUUCAGUGCAGCCCAGCUCUGUGCAGUUUUCCACAAAAGCCUGUGGCUUCCUUCUCCUCCCUCUGCUUCUGAUACCCCAGGAGUUACACACAAAAUGUUGGCGGUGGUCUCCAGGAAGACCCCUGCAUCCCACAGCUCUCCCCAGAAGUUGCCAGCAGUGACCUCCUGAGCCCAGGUGGGGAGUCCCAGGCAGGACAGGGGCUGGGGCUGCAGGCCCUGGGGCCCUGUUAGUGAAGCAGCAAGCCGAGGGUCCCUGAGAGUUUCCCUUGGCCCCUCUGAGGGCUGCCCUUUGAGGUCUUGAGGUCUUGGAGUAUCCAUCGCCCCCACGGCUUACUGUCCCCACCAGCGGAGGAUGAAAGUGCCACAGCGAUGUUCCACGCCAAGAGACCACAGAGACCACCAACCCCUCUUCCCACCUCAGGCUUUCAGAGGCCAGCGGAUUUAGGCGGACAGGCUGUGCGCUUGAGGGCAGCCAGGGCGGUCAGUGGAGGGACGUGGUCCGGGGCCUGGCCACAGCUCCCCACCCAGGGCCCUGGGCUAUUGUUACUCACCGCGGAUGAAGGUCGGCGAGUAGGUCGGGAAGGAGUCGAAGAUGCUGUUCGAUGCCAUGCCCCGCUCUGAAGAAGGCGAGAAUUUUCAGCCCUUCAGGGGGUUGGGUUGGGAUUCACUUGGUUGGCUGUUGUUUUAUUUUUUUUUCCUCUAGCUACUUUUGAAAAUAAAAGGGGGGGGUGUUGCUUUUUGUUGUUU
rnacentral:lncRNA from 1 species